rnacentral:rRNA from 1 species
AUUGAACGCUGGCGGCAGGCUUAACACAUGCAAGUCGAGCGGGGUGAUGGUGCUUGCACUAUCACUUAGCGGCGGACGGGUGAGUAAUGCUUAGGAAUCUGCCUAUUAGUGGGGGACAACAUCUCGAAAGGGAUGCUAAUACCGCAUACGUCCUACGGGAGAAAGCAGGGGAUCACUUGUGACCUUGCGCUAAUAGAUGAGCCUAAGUCGGAUUAGCUAGUUGGUGGGGUAAAGGCCUACCAAGGCGACGAUCUGUAGCGGGUCGGAGAGGAUGGUCCGCCAAACUGGGACUGGGACACGGCCCAGACUCCUACGGGAGGCAGCAGUGGGGAAUAUUGGACAAUGGGGGGAACCCUGAUCCAGCCAUGCCGCGUGUGUGAAGAAGGCCUUAUGGUUGUAAAGCACUUUAAGCGAGGAGGAGGCUCUUUUGGUUAAUACCCAAGAUGAGUGGACGUUACUCGCAGAAUAAGCACCGGCUAACUCUGUGCCAGCCGCCGCGGUAA